ensembl:lncRNA
GUUAUAUAGCUCUAUCUAUAUAUCUGUCUCUCUCUCUCUAUAUAUAUAUAUAGUUAUAUAGCUCUAUCUAUAUAUCUGUAUGUAUUGUUUUUCUGUACCUUACCAUAUUGUACAUAUGCAGAUGAUGUGAACAGUGUCUUUAUUGUUUGAUUUAUGGAUGUCUUUACGUUCUACCUCUCCAGUCCCCCUUCUGUCUGUCAAUCAAUAUUGUUGUUGAUUUUAUGUUUAUUAUUGUUAUUAUUCUAUUGUUGUGGAAACAUUCCAGUGAAGGAAUUCCUGUUUAUUUGAAUGUAAAAAUAAUAUAAUUUGAAUGCAGGAAGCAGAAAGGGUUGAACUUUAUACUCUUAACUGUAUACAAGGGGGAACGAUAAUGUUUUUCACUCUGUGAUCUCAUCAUUUAUGACCAAAUACAUGUUUACUACUAUGCCACCAGGAAUUCGUUUCUGAAGAAAAUAGAAUAAACAAUGUGAUUAUCAUUAUAAAUUAAUGUGAUUAUCAUUAUAAAUUAAUGUGAUUAUCAUUAUAAAUUAAUGUGAAAUCAAACAUAUUUUUUGAUUUUUUAAAAUUAUUUUUUUUAGCUUACAGCAGUGGAGAAAUGUAGCCAACAAAAUUAUACUUGAAUCUAUUUAGUAAAUCUAAUUCUUAAAUGCAUUACUAUACUAGUCGGGAAAAAAUACUUGAUUUUAGAAUUUCGUUGUUAUUAGAAUGUUUUUUCCCCCAAGGUGGCAGUGCCCAAGGUGGCAGUGCCCAAGGUGGCAGUGCCCAAGGUGUCAGUAGUAACAACUAUCUCUGUCUUACAGUGUGAGAGCCGACCUGGUUCGGUCCUAUUCUGUAGAGGUGAGGUAGCUAGGGAAGUCCUCCUAUAGGAGACCUAGGACCACCCUGCCAUGACCAGAGAGACAGAGUCUGCAUCCCAAAAUGGCACCCUAUUUCCUAUAUAGUGCACUCGUCCCCAUAGGCCCUAGUCAAAAGUAGUGCACUGUAAAUGGAAUAGUGUGCCAUUUGGGAUGGAGCUUAUUGAUCUCAAAAUGUUAUUUUAUUCAUGUUGUUUUUUUCCUCAAAACAUUCCAAUCGCUUAACUCGUCUCGAAUGAUGUCAUCAUUGUGAUUGCAAAUGGCUGUUGUGAUUGUUGACAAUUGUUAUUGUUUUCUCGAUUUAAAUUUUUAUAAUGUUUUACCCUUUUUCUCAUGAUUUCUUGUUACGGUUUAAAUCUUCAAACAUGUUGAAUUAAUGAUGUCAUUUCCGUUUCGUUUGAUCAGUUGUGAAUUUGCACUUACCACUUCGAUCUGCUUGUGAGUGUACAGUAGAGUAUGUGGUGUGUGUGUGUCUGACUGUGUCGUAAUGCUGUAGUUUUCAGUCGGUUAGUGUGACCUCCGUAUGGCAACAGGUAGCCUAGUGGUUAAGAGUGUUUGGGCCAGUGACUGUGUCGUAAUGCUGUAGUUUUCAGUCGGUUAGUGUGACCUCCGUAUGGCAACAGGUAGCCUAGUGGUUAAGAGUGUUUGGGCCAGUAACCAAAAGGUUAUUGGUUCGAAUCCCUGAGCCGACUAGGGGAAAAACAUAUGUUGACGUUUCUUUGAGCGAAGCACUUAACCCUAACUGCUCUGGAUAAGAGCGUCUGCGAAAUGACUAACAUGUAUAUUUCUGUCUGAUUGGAUAAGAUGCUAAAUGACUAAUGUGUAUAUUUCUGUCUGAUUGGAACACCAAAAUAAGACAUUUUAGAGUAUAUAUAUAUAUAUAUAUAUACACUCUUCUUUUUUUUAAAGCACAAAGGAAUAUUAGGCACAAGAUCACAUCAAAACUCACUAUGAUACUAGUCAUACAAAGAUAAUAUCCUAUCACUGAAACACUAGACAACACAAGGCAAUGUGGGGGAGAGAGAGGAGAGAAACAGAGAGAGGGGGGGAGAGAGGUAAGAAACAGAGAGAGAAGGGAAAAGAUAAUAUCCUAUCACUGAAACACUAGACAACUCAAGGCAAUGUGGGGGAGAGAGAGGAGAGAAACAGAGAGAGAGGUAAGAAACAGAGAGAGAAGGGAAAAGAUAAUAUCCUAUCACUGAAACACUAGACAACUCAAGGCAAUGUGGGGGAGAGAGAGGAGAGAAACAGAGAGAGAGGUGAGAAACAGAGAGAGAAGGGAAAAGAUAAUAUCCUCUCACUGAAACACUAGACAACACAAGGCAAUGAGCUCUUGGUGUUGGAACAGUGUCAUCUUGGAAUGAGAAAUGCAUCAUUUUGAACACGGGGUAUCACACCAUGUAUUUACCAGUAGUAACUCUCUAAGACAGAGUCAGCUCUACAGAGACACCCGUAAGGCCUGGGGGCUGCUAUCACACCAUGUGUACCAGUAGUAACUCUCUAAGACAGAGUCAGCUCUACAGAGACACCCGUAAGGCCUGGGGGCUGCUAUCACACCAUGUGUACCAGUAGUAACUCUCUAAGACAGAGUCAGCUCUACAGAGACACCCGUAAGGCCUGGGGGCUGCUAUCACACCAUGUGUACCAGUAGUAACUCUCUAAGACAGAGUCAGCUCUACAGAGACACCCGUAAGGCCUGGGGGCUGUGAGACCUCUCUCUGUUCUCUGUAUUCCUCCAAGAGGAAAUGCUGUUGUGCUUUAAAGGACUUUGAGGGCUCCAUCCAAUCCGUACCGCGGUAGUUCAGCGCUAUGCUGGGAUUGAAAUGUGAUGGUUUACCAUGAAUGCAUUAUUUCACGAAUUAGGGAACAUUGCCUUUUUAAAUUUCAAUUGCGCUAUAGUGCUGAAUUUACGCAAUACAGUUACAAUGCAUCAUCCCUAAAUAUAACAUGACAAUGGACUGACAGAGGGGGUGUCCCUACACAACGCCCCACACCCCCACUAAUGUCAGUCCCUACACAACGCCCCACACCCCCUAUAAUGUCAGUCCCUCUAAUGUCAGUCCCUACACCACACCCCCUCUGUCAGUCCCCACACCCCCUCUGUCAGUCCCUACACAACGCCCCACACCCCCACUAAUGUCAGUCCCUACACAACGCCCCACACCCCCUAUAAUGUCAGUCCCUCUAAUGUCAGUCCCUACACCACACCCCCUCUGUCAGUCCCCACACCCCCUCUGUCAGUCCCUACACAACGCCCCACACCCCCACUAAUGUCAGUCCCUACACAACGCCCCACACCCCCUCUAAUGUCAGUCCCUCUAAUGUCAGUCCUUACACCACACCCCCUCUGUCAGUCCCCACACCCCUCUGUCAGUCCCUACACCCCCUCUGUCAGUCCCUACACCCCCUCUGUCAGUCCCUACACCCCCUCUGUCAGUCCCCACACCCCCUCUGUCAGUCCCUAAACCCCCUCUGUCAGUCCCUACACCCCCUGUCAGUCCCUACACCCCCUCUGUCAGUCCCUACACCCCUCUGUCAGUCCCUACACCCCUGUCAGUCCCUACACCACACCCCCUCUGUCAGUCCCUACACCCCCUCUGUCAGUCCCUACACCCCCUCUGUCAGUCCCCACACCCCCUCUGUCAGUCCCUACACCCCAUAAGAAGAUGAAGAAAAUGAAAAACACAAAUAAGAUGAUAUUGUAUUCCCUGUUAUUCACUGUUUGCUGUUUAAUAAAAUGAGAUGUCC